rnacentral:rRNA from 1 species
ACGUAAGGUGCAAACGUUGUUCGGAAUCACUGGGCAUAAAGAGCACGUAGGCGGUCUGGUAAGUCUGACUGUGAAAUCCCUCGGCUCAACUGAGGAAUUGCAUCGGAUACUGCCGGACUAGAGUGCAGCAGGGGAGAGUGGAAUUCCAGGUGGAGCGGUGAAAUGCGUAGAUAUCUGGAGGAACGCCGGUGGCGAAAGCGACUCUCUGGGCUGUAACUGACGCUGAGGUGCGAAAGCCAGGGGAGCAAACGGGA